rnacentral:tRNA from 1 species
UUAGUAAAAGCCAAAAUAGAGGCAAUUUAUUGUUAAUAAAUUUAUUGGAUUUUCUUUUUCCUUACUAAG